rnacentral:rRNA from 1 species
AACGCGAAGAACCUUACCAAGUCUUGACAUAUUACGGAGUGUUCUAGAGAUAGAACACUACAUCUUCGGAUGACUGUAAUACAAGUGGUGCAUGGUCGUCGUCAGCUCGUGUCGUGAGAUGUUGGGUUAAGUCCCAUAACGAGCGCAACCCCUAUGGCUAGUUACCAUCAUUAAGUUGGGGACUCUAGCAAUACUGCCGGUGACAAACCGGAGGAAGGUGGGGAUGACGUCAAAUCAUCAUGGCCCUUAUGGGUAGGGCUUCACACGUCAUACAAUGGUACAUACAGAGCGCCGCCAACCCGCGAGGGGGAGCUAAUCCCAGAAAGUGUAUCGUAGUCCGGAUUGUAGUCUGCAACUCGACUACGUGAAGUUGGAAUCGCUAGUAAUCGCGGAUCAGCAUGUCGCGGUGAAUACGUUCCCGGGUCUUGUACACAC